rnacentral:rRNA from 1 species
GAUUAACGCUAGCGGCAGGCCUAAUACAUGCAAGUCGAACGGCAGCACGGGUAGCAAUACCUGGUGGCGAGUGGCGCACGGGUGCGUAACGCGUAUGCAAUCUACCUAUAACUGGGGAAUAGCCUUCCGAAAGGAAGAUUAAAACCGCAUAAUAUCACGAAGCGGCAUCGUUUUGUGAUCAAAUCUCCGGAGGUUAUAGAUGAGCAUGCGUGACAUAGCUAGUUGGUGAGGUAACGGCUCACCAAGGCUACGAUGUCUAGGGGGUCUGAGAGGAUGAUCCCCA